rnacentral:rRNA from 1 species
AUUGAACGCUGGCGGCAGGCCUAACACAUGCAAGUCGAGCGGAUGAAGGGAGCUUGCUCCUGGAUUCAGCGGCGGACGGGUGAGUAAUGCCUAGGAAUCUGCCUGGUAGUUGGGGAUAACGUCCGGAAACGGGCGCUAAUACCGCAUACGUCCUGAGGGAGAAAGUGGGGGAUCUUCGGACCUCACGCUAUCAGAUGAGCCUAGGCCGGAUUAGCUAGUUGGUGGGGUAAAGGCCUACCAAGGCGACGAUCCGUAACUGGUCUGAGAGGAUGAUCAGUCACACUGGAACUGAGACACGGUCCAGACUCCUACGGGAGGCAGCAGUGGGGAAUAUUGGACAAUGGGCGAAAGCCUGAUCCAGCCAUGCCGCGUGUGUGAAGAAGGUCUUCGGAUUGUAAAGCACUUUAAGUUGGGAGGAAGGGCAGUAAGUUAAUACCUUGCUGUUUUGACGUUACCAACAGAAUAAGCACCGGCUAACUUCGUG